AGAGUUUGAUCCUGGCUCAGGAUGAACGCUAGCGGGCAGGCUUAAUACAUGCAAGUCGAGGGGCAGCAGGUUUGUAGCAAUACAAAUGCUGGCGACCGGCAAACGGGUGCGGAACACGUACGCAAUCUACCCAAAACUGGUGAAUAGCCCUCCGAAAGGAGGAUUAAUACACCGUAACCUAAUGAAGUGGCAUCACUAUAUUAGUAUAGCUCCGGCGGUUUUGGAUGAGCGUGCGGCUGAUUAGAUAGUUGGUGUGGGUAACGGCCCACCAAGUCUGCGAUCAGUAACUGGUGUGAGAGCACGACCAGUCACACGGGCACUGAGACACGGGCCCGACUCCUACGGGAGGCAGCAGUAAGGAAUAUUGGUCAAUGGACGCAAGUCUGAACCAGCCAUGCCGCGUGAAGGAUGAAGGUCCUCUGGAUUGUAAACUUCUUUUAUGGGGGACGAAACCUCUUUUUCUAAAGAGACUGACGGUACCCUAGGAAUAAGCACCGGCUAACUCCGUGCCAGCAGCCGCGGUAAUACGGAGGGUGCAAGCGUUAUCCGGAUUCACUGGGUUUAAAGGGUGCGUAGGAGGGCAGGUAAGUCAGUGGUGAAAUCUCCGAGCUUAACUUGGAAACUGCCGUUGAUACUAUCUGUCUUGAAUACCGUGGAGGUGAGCGGAAUAUGUCAUGUAGCGGUGAAAUGCUUAGAUAUGACAUAGAACACCAAUUGCGAAGGCAGCUCACUACACGCAUAUUGACUCUGAGGCACGAAAGCGUGGGGAUCAAACAGGAUUAGAUACCCCGGUAGUCC
rnacentral:rRNA from 1 species